UUUUAUUUUAUUUUUAAUUUUUUUUGGCAACAGAGAUGAUGGUAUAUGCUUAAAUGCCCGGCAAAAUUGAUGCAGUGUGUGUGUAGAUUGUUCUGGAAGACUAUUUCUAGUUAAUAUUUUAUACAAAAUGAUUUAAUAUCUAGUUGAUUCCGUUCGUUUCCUAAUACAUAAAGUAGAACCUGUUCUGUAAAGCAAAACUAGAUCCUCCAUGCCUUUUACAAGGAGCUUAGCUAGUGAAGACUUAAGCAUGCUACUUGUCAUUAGGCGCAAGUGAGACAUCCUCAUAAAUUGUUGUAUUCACAAAAUUAUGCAAGCAUAUAUGUUUUUCUUUGCUGAAAUGUAUUGAUUAGGACCCUUUACUGUAACCAAACUUUAUGCUUUCAUGUCUAUUCUUUGCAGCCAAGUUGGUAAAAAAUGAAAACUAUCAAAACCUUGUCCUUUUAUUAAAUGAAAAUCACAGUUGUAAUUUCUGCCACUAGUUUAUUAAAAUUUAUUUACAAGUAUCAGUGUGCAGAUGGUUUCACUCACCUGAUUGUGCUUAUGUAUAUGAGUGUGUCUACAAUCAAAGAGAUUUUCUUUUGAUUUCCAUGCAAGCUAACAGUUAGUAUGGAAAUUAGGUGGAAAGCUUUCUUUGGCAAA
rnacentral:misc_RNA from 1 species